rnacentral:rRNA from 1 species
UCCUACGGGGGGCAGCAGUGGGGAAUAUUGGGCAAUGGGCGCAAGCCUGACCCAGCAACGCCGCGUGAAGGAAGAAGGCUUUCGGGUUGUAAACUUCUUUUAAGAGGGAAGAGCAGAAGACGGUACCUCUUGAAUAAGCCACGGCUAACUACGUGCCAGCAGCCGCGGUAAUACGUAGGUGGCGAGCGUUGUCCGGAAUUACUGGGUGUAAAGGGAGCGUAGGCGGGAGAGCAAGUCGACUGUGAAAUCUAUGGGCUUAACCCAUAGCUGCGAUCGAAACUGUUCAUCUUGAGUGAAGUAGAGGG